rnacentral:lncRNA from 1 species
CCGCCAGGGAGAGUGUUGUCUCGGCUCACGCUGACGCCUCCACGCCUUUACUGAGGUAGGAGUCUAGAAAGCAGGCUGUGUGGAAAGGGAUGGGCUCCGUAGGUUAAAGAAGAGUUUGGUGUGGAUCACAGCCAACCUUGAGGGGACCUAUGGGGAGGUAAGCCCCCCGCACGUGGUAAAGAAGGCCAAACAGCAAUCUCUGAGCAUGGGCUCCAGCCAAGGCACUGGGGCGCUGGUGUGGAGACCGGAAGAGGAAGGAGGACAGGCGCGCAUGCGUGAGCGCCUAGGCGAGGCCGUGGGAGCGCACGGGCCCGCCUGUGCAGGUGUAGCGACUCUGUUCUCAGGCCAGGAAGGCACGCUCUGCCCCGCCCAGACCAUGCCCACCUCAGCACGCGGGCUGUGUCCACUGGGACCUGGCACCAAGGCGCGACUGAAAACUGGGCUUCUAGCUCUUCUCCAAAGUCAAAAUGACCAUGAAAGGGAAAUGUUUUGAAUCGAUUCAGGACAUCCAGGCAGCCACCACAGUGCAACUAAAGGCACUCAGGAAAGAGGACUUCCAGAGCUGCUUCAGAAGGUGGCAAGAAUGAUGGGCUUAGCUAGAGACUGGAAGCACAGGGAGCAGAGCUCUUCCACUGGUGGACAGUUUGCUGAGUAUGCCUGGUACACUGAAGGCCUUCUCUUCGCCUCUGGUGGGGUAGGUGCAGCUCUACUGGCAGCCUCGGAUUUUGAUAGCAAGGAAUGACUUCUGAGGUGAAUAUUCCAUUCAACAGUUUUCUUCUUUUUACAAUUUUCUGCACCAAUUACUGUAUGGCUGUUCAUGAUUGUACACCUGUCCCAUUGGUCAUGCA